rnacentral:rRNA from 1 species
GUGCUUAACACACGCAAGUCGAACGGGUGUAGCAAUACAUCCGUGGCGAACGGGUGCGUAACACGUGGAUAACCUUCCUUCAGGUGGGGAAUAACCCAGUGAAAAUUGGGCUAAUACCGCAUAACAAGACCGGGGCUCAUGCUCUGGCCUUCAAAGCCGCAAGGCGCCAGAAGAGGGAUCCGCGGCCGAUUAGCUUGUUGGCGGGGUAACGGCCCACCAAGGCUUUGAUCGGUAGCCGGAUUGAGAGGUUGACCGGCCACACUGGAACUGAGACACGGUCCAG